rnacentral:rRNA from 1 species
AAUCAACGCUGGCGGCGUGCCUCAGACAUGCAAGUCGAACGCGAAAGUUCCCUUCGGGGGAUGAGUAGAGUGGCGCACGGGUGAGUAACACGUAGGUAAUCUACCUUCGGAUGGGGAAUAACAACCGGAAACGGUUGCUAAUACCGCAUAAUGCAGCGGCACCUAAUGGUGACAGUUGUUAAAGCGGGGGAUCGAAAGACCUCGCGUCUGAAGAGGAGCCUGCGGCGGAUUAGCAGUUGGUAGGGUAACGGCCUACCAAGGCUACGAUCCGUAGCCGGCCUGAGAGGGCGGUCGGCCACACUGACACUGACAUACGGGUCAGACUCCUACGGGAGGCAGCAGUCGGGAAUUUUGGGCAAUGGGCGAAAAGCCUGACCCAGCAACGCCGCGUGAAGGAUGAAAUCCCUCGGGAUGUAAACUUCGCAAGAACGGGAAGAAUAAGU